GUGUAAACGCGUUGAACCAUUCCAAUUGGCGGCGGAGACGGAACCAUGAAGUGGGUUUCACUGUUAUGUGUUUUUUUGUCCAUCAUGUACUUGGGUCUGUGUGAGGAGUCAGACCAAGUCGACUAUACCAGCCGGUAUGCCGAGCUGGCUUCACCGGUCCCGGAACACGUCAACAUCCAAGAUCUGAUAGCCAGGCUGACGGCAGCCAGCCUCGGACUACGGUUCUAACCGCCAAUCACCACAUAAUGUGAUGUGGUACAAACUCCCCACUAACUUUUGAGUUCCAAAAUGUUUAUAUAAUUUUAUGUUUAAUUUUUUAUGAAUUUUUAUUAAAGUGUUGAAGUGCGUUUGUCAA